AGAUGGAUAAAUUCGUCCAUUCCAGAUCAAUCAGGAGGAAGAAACAAGGGUAAAAACACAAGAUAUUCCCAAUAUUAUGUUAAGGAGAAGAUUUCCACACUGGAUGUCAGAGGAUAAUAUUUUGGACAUAUAUCAACUAAAAAAUCAAAUGAAGUCUCUGAAGCAUUUUGAGAAAAGUCUGCCAGUACUGCUGAUGUUAUGAUUGCAGGCACGCCUACUGAAAUCACUCAACCAAUUGAAGAAACAGAAUGAGAUUUGGAUUAUAGGGUUUCAGAUAAUACCAAGUCCCUUGUGAAAGGUAUGUUAUUUCUUCUCUUUGUUCUGCUUUUGGAAAAGUAUAGCUGUGGGAUGGGGUUUUUUUUCAACUGUAUAGGUCACAGGAGUUAGUUUUCCAAAGCAAAAUCAGAGUCUGUGUUCUGAAUAAAACUAAUCGAGAGGAGAGUGAUUUGCAGGGGUGUUUAGUAUGUUAUAUAUGAUCA
rnacentral:lncRNA from 1 species